GGAACGCAGCAUAGGUCGAUUGAGGCUCGUCGAGAGAACGGGUUGCGUCAGUAAGUAGGCUGUCUUAUUCACUUUAAACAUCGGAUGAAGUGAUUAUUUUACUCUAACACAGGUGAUGCUGAGUCAUUAAUAAAUUAGUCAUGACAAAAAAAAUGUUAAUGUAUUUUUCCACGACUCCGCUAUGUUAGCAGGUAUAAAGUUACCUAGCUUGUUUGGUAGCUUAAUGGAUAGUUAAUUAGCUAACUUGCUAUCUCCACCCACCGUGCUUUCAUGCUGCACACUGCUUUAAGAAAUGAGCCAAACACCCUCAUCUGGCGAGAGCACUGUGCUUUUCUACUCUGUGACAAGAGUGUGCGGAUAAAACAUUAAGCGGUUACAUUUAACUCAUUUAGUGGCCAGCCGGCUGGCUAGUUAGUUAGCUUGCUUGCUAGAAGGCUGAGUACUCAGUUCAGCAUCAUCUGUAUUAGAGAAAAAAAUCACUUCAUCCAAUGUUUAAAGUGAAUGAAACAGCCUUGCCAGCCUACUUACUGAAGUUCCACAACUACACAUAUCCUAACCAAGUACAAUUUUAGCUGUAUUAUAUGUGUCCCCUUUAAUAAUUGCUCUUAAGAAAUAUGUUUUAAUAUUAUUAUAUAUUAUGUUUAUUGUCCCCCUCCUGUUAGAUGAAAUUUACGCCCAUGGCCGAGGUGCGUCACAACAGUGUUUAGCCUAGUCCCACUCUACUGUGCUGUGAUUGGCUAGUUCUACUGUAGUAUGCUCUAUUGACGUUCUGUUUCAACAUUGGACUACAUCGCAAUAGGGGUUUUGAAAAGACAUGGCCAAAAAGAUUCUGGGUGUAACACACCAGGAUCAUACUAGUCAAGACAUGAUGCAGUCGGAGUCUUAUUAUCACUAUAGAAAGUGAUAAUAAUGAUGACAAUGGAUGAGAGAGGGAGCUCAUGUUAGAGGUUAACUGAGAUGUGAGGGCGUGUUGGCUGCCUACGUACAAGUGACUGGUUUGGCAAACCUCAAAGACCUUUGACACAGACCAUCACCAAGUCCAUUCGUCAUCGUGAAUAGUAACUAACAGUGAAACUGAAAUUAAAUUCAAAGUUUGCAUCUCUGAAAUGACGAGGCAAUAACUACUUGUGAAGAACAUUUGCAAAUGUCUACAAAUGCUUGCUAUUGUUGUUACUGCAUUAUGUUUUGGCUGAAAAAGACGUGCUACGAAAUAAAAGCUUUACUGAACAAUA